GGCUGUGGCUCAAUAGCAGAGCAUUCCCAUUGCAUGGAGAAGGUCCUGGGUUCAAUCCUCAGGAUCUCCA